GCACUUGAUACCGAGAUGAAGGCAACAGAAUCCAGCUCUGGAAGAUGUUCACUCACUAGGAGGGAGGCAGACCCAUAGACUGACUCAUAUCAUCAGAACAGAAUCACCAAGGAGAGAUGCUCCAAACUCAGUUUGGGUGCCAGAGCCCCAGAUUAUUCACUUACUAGCCAGCAGGAUCUCAUGUUAGGUUCCUCCCAUGGAGGUCCCCAAGAAAGAUGCGGAAGACAGAAGAAAAGGAAACUUAUUAUUUUGCAGCAACAUGAGUGGACACUUUCUUUGGGAUUGGAGAAAAGGGACUGAAUUGGUUUCCCUUUAAAAUGCCUUCAGUAUCUUUUGGAUUGGUGCACCAAAUUCUCACUCUGCCCAGUGUGGAGGUGACUGCUGAGUGCCGAAAUGCCAGGACCAGAAAAUCAAGCUGAACACAUGCGUCAAUGGUGAACAAUUAUAGCUCAGAAUCCAUCCUCGCAGGAUCUGGGGUCCCUGUGAUUGUAUCAUCCAGACAUACAUCCUCCUCUCCUCCCAACUGCAGCAAGUCCAAGCCAGAUCUCGCAGGAUGAGUAAGCGACAUAUGGCAUGUGUGAAAUUCCACUCCACCCUGUUGCCCUUCCCAGAGCUGCUGUAGACGGCAGCAACGAUUAUAGCAACCUUGACUCCAUAAGGAAUGUGACAAUUUAAACCCUGCAGACUGUUUAGCAAUGAGUUAUUCCAAGCAGUAAGUUGUACCCUAGAGCCCUGGAAUGAACUGAAGAAGCACUGGGCUCACAUCUUAGGAGAUCUGUUCAUCAGGUAGAAACUGGCUUCAUCGGCAAGGAUUGAGAUUUUUCUGCUAUCGUUUUUGAUGGCUAGUCUCAUCAAAGAGCAAACAGCAUGUCUCAGAUUACAGCUAUCAGUCCUUUGGCAUUCCGCAGGCUUCUCACAUUCAUGCCGAGUCGCAGGGCUGACCUGGCCUGAAUUGUGGGAUCUGAACUCUCCCAGAAAUUUAAGAACCCCCAAAUUUGUCCCCAGGUCAUGGUUUGGGAUUGGGGCCACCCAGAAAAUUCGACAGACUCAGAGACUCCUUGAGAAUGAUGCUUUAAGCUGCAGUCUCAGAUACCCCGAAAUUAUAUGAGUACAGUGGAAUGGAGGCAGAGAAGGGGAUGCGCGGUGAUGACUUUUUCAUAAAGGCCCUAGGAUCCAGGUCAAGUCUGUAGUGGUCCCCAUGAUGAUUCUGGGCUUCAAGGGUAUUCUGGGGAAAGCCAACCUGCAGGGAUUCCUGAGUGCCUUUAACCACAGAACCCCUAAUAUCAUGGAAUAAAAGAGAAGUAAAAGUUAUUGGACAAGGAAUGGUAACUUUUAGUUCAUGAAAUCCUUUGUGACACACCAUCUCAACUUUUGCUUUGGCAAAUUUUUUUUCCAUGUCAACAACUGCUGUGACUGAUUUUGAAACCAGGAAAUCAACUUGAAUGCAAAUAAAAAUUCAAAUGGAUGCAAAUUUAUGAAAGAAGACUGAGAGACGACAGACAGGAAUGUUGAUGGCCAAACCACUUAAUUUCUAUUGAGUCUAAAAAAGAAAUGAAGAACAGUUCUAGGCUGCCAGAAAACAGAAGAUAAGCAUAUGGUUGUUAAAAUUACAAGAACAACUGGGGCAGAGGAGACAAGCUGCUUGCAAUGGCGUAAGGAUUUCUACGUUGCGUUUUGAUCCACACCCACCCUGGCAAUGACUGCUAUUGCAUAAGCCUUCAAUUCUUCAGGCCUGUGCAGAUACUGAUUUAGAAUUGGUCUCUGGCUUGUUAUGAAACGAAGCUCUUUCAUGGCACAAAUGUGGAGCAGAGGCGAACCUGGUUUGAAGAUGCCUAUGAGACCUAUAUUCUCAUCCUGCCCCUCGGGCAUGAGUCACCACUUCCCCCUAAAAUAUGGAAAAAUGCUAAAGUGACUUUCAUGUGGGAUGUACAAUUGGUAAUGACUGAGUUGGGAAAAACACACAACUCCCUGAACUAUCCACAUGCCAUGAGUUCUCAAGGCAGUCUUGCUGAGAUAUUAUAGGAAGUCUAACAUUCUGCUGACUUGUCCCAUAUGUCGAGAGUCUAACAAUUUUACAAACAAGUUGUUAGAGGGAAAGAGGACAGUGUCUUCAUGGUUGUCAGAGAGACCCAAGCAAAUGACAGCAUGUAGCUCCUUGGUAUCCUGGCAUCACUGGCCUUGGAAAAUUUUGCUGCAAUGAUAGCUCUGUUCUCCUACAUCAAAAUAGGGACUUAAUGAAUUUGAUUUGUGAGUGCUAUUAAAAACCCAUCUUCUCUUCUUUGAACAAGUAAGCCUGGUCAACUGCCUGUGCUGAAAACCACUGAAGUGUGUAUAUCAUAUGUUUUACAAGACUCUAGUUCUAUUGAGUCGGGUUGAAAUAUGCUUAAGAGCAUGUGAUGGUUAAUUUUAAUGCAUCAACUUGACUGGGCUAUGGGAUGCCCAGAUAGCUGGUGAAACGUGAUUUCUGAGUGUGUCUGUGAGGGUGUUUCUGGAAGAGAUGAGCAUUUGAAUUGAUAGACUUGAAUAAAAAAGAUCCACCUUACCCAGGGUGUGUGGGCAUCAUCUCAUCUGUUGAGGGCCUGAAUAGAAUGAAAAGGCACACGAGGGUAAAUUCACUCCCUCUCAGGUUGAAUUGGGACACCUAUCUAUCUCCCGCCCUCAGAUGUUGGUGCUUCUGGUUCUUGGGCUCUCAGACUCAGACUGAGACACCAACGGCUUUCCUGGUUCUCCAGCUUGCAGACAGCAGAUCGUGGGAUUUCCUG
rnacentral:lncRNA from 10 species